UACAGAGGGGGCAAGCGUUAUUCGGAAUUAUUGGGCGUAAAGGGCGCGUAGGCGGCCUUGCAAGUGGCGGGUGAAAUCCCUCGGCUUAACCGAGGAACUGCCUUCCAGACUGCAAGGCUCGAGACCGGGAGAGGUGAGUGGAAUUCCCAGUGUAGCGGUGAAAUGCGUAGAUAUUGGGAGGAACACCAGUGGCGAGGGCGGCUCACUGGACCGGAACUGACGCUGAGGCGCGAAAGCGUGGGGAGCAAACAGG
rnacentral:rRNA from 1 species